AGCUGGUCUGACUACAGUGGUGUUUACAACUAAUUGAUCACAACUGGUUGUAGGUUUCUGUUUUCCUUCUCCACUACCACUGCUUCAUUUGAGUGGGUUUUU
ensembl:misc_RNA Y_RNA Y RNA